rnacentral:tRNA from 1 species
GCUGAGGUGGCGGAGCGGUCAAUCGCAUCAGACUGUAAAUCUGACGGCCGGAAGGCCUACAUAGGUUCGAAUCCUGUCCUCAGCA